rnacentral:rRNA from 1 species
GAGAGUUUGAUCCUGGCUCAGAUUGAACGCUAGCGGGAUGCUUUACACAUGCAAGUCGAACGGCAGCACGAGAGAGCUUGCUCUCUUGGUGGCGAGUGGCGGACGGGUGAGUAAUAUAUCGGAACGUGCCCAGUAGCGGGGGAUAACUACUCGAAAGAGUGGCUAAUACCGCAUACGCCCUACGGGGGAAAGGGGGGGAUUCUUCGGAACCUCUCACUAUUGGAGCGGCCGAUAUCGGAUUAGCUAGUUGGUGGGGUAAAGGCUCACCAAGGCAACGAUCCGUAGCUGGUUUGAGAGGACGACCAGCCACACUGGGACUGAGACACGGCCCAGACUCCUACGGGAGGCAGCAGUGGGGAAUUUUGGACAAUGGGGGAAACCCUGAUCCAGCCAUCCCGCGUGUAUGAUGAAGGCCUUCGGGUUGUAAAGUACUUUUGGCAGAGAAGAAAAGGUACCUCCUAAUACGAGGUACUGCUGACGGUAUCUGCAGAAUAAGCACCGGCUAACUACGUGCCAGCAGCCGCGGUAAUACGUAGGGUGCAAGCGUUAAUCGGAAUUACUGGGCGUAAAGCGUGUGUAGGCGGUUCGGAAAGAAAGAUGUGAAAUCCCAGGGCUCAACCUUGGAACUGCAUUUUUAACUGCCGAGCUAGAGUAUGUCAGAGGGGGGUAGAAUUCCACGUGUAGCAGUGAAAUGCGUAGAUAUGUGGAGGAAUACCGAUGGCGAAGGCAGCCCCCUGGGAUAAUACUGACGCUCAGACACGAAAGCGUGGGGAGCAAACAGGAUUAGAUACCCUGGUAGUCCACGCCCUAAACGAUGUCAACUAGCUGUUGGGGCCGUUAGGCCUUAGUAGCGCAGCUAACGCGUGAAGGUGACCGCCUGGGGAGUACGGUCGCAAGAUUAAAACUCAAAGGAAUUGACGGGGACCCGCACAAGCGGUGGAUGAUGUGGAUUAAUUCGAUGCAACGCGAAAAACCUUACCUACCCUUGACAUGUCUGGAAUCCCGAAGAGAUUUGGGAGUGCUCGCAAGAGAACCGGAACACAGGUGCUGCAUGGCUGUCGUCAGCUCGUGUCGUGAGAUGUUGGGUUAAGUCCCGCAACGAGCGCAACCCUUGUCAUUAGUUGCUACGCAAGAGCACUCUAAUGAGACUGCCGGUGACAAACCGGAGGAAGGUGGGGAUGACGUCAAGUCCUCAUGGCCCUUAUGGGUAGGGCUUCACACGUCAUACAAUGGUCGGGACAGAGGGUCGCCAACCCGCGAGGGGAGCCAAUCUCAGAAACCCGAUCGUAGUCCGGAUCGCAGUCUGCAACUCGACUGCGUGAAGUCGGAAUCGCUAGUAAUCGCGGAUCAGAAUGUCGCGGUGAAUACGUUCCCGGGUCUUGUACACACCGCCCGUCACACCAUGGGAGUGGGUUUCACCAGAAGUAGGUAGCCUAACCGCAAGGAGGGCGCUUACCACGGUGGGAUUCAUGACUGGGGUGAAGUCGUAACAAGGUAGCCGUA